UCGGUUUCAGGCACGCCAACAGACCGCCGAACGGACAGAGUUUUUCCUGUACCGCGGAUAGAGUCUCCCCUGUACAUUCAAGGCGUCACAAUCAAUACAAUAUACGAUGUUCCAACCAGGAACACAUUUCAACCAAAGAUUGUAUAAGGAAGUAUCAAAAACAUAAUUCUACUUGCUAUUACAAGCAUUCAUCUCGCAUAUUACAUUUUACAUUACAAAUUACAUUCUUUUACAUUCAACUUCCAAAUACAAUCCAGUUAUUACAAAUUUACUACAAGUUUGAUACAUCUUGUUCUUUCAUUUUUCUCU
rnacentral:lncRNA from 1 species